GACGAACGCUGGCGGCGUGCUUAACACAUGCAAGUCGAACGGAAAGGCCCUGCUUUUGUGGGGUGCUCGAGUGGCGAACGGGUGAGUAACACGUGAGUAACCUGCCCUUGACUUUGGGAUAACUUCAGGAAACUGGGGCUAAUACCGGAUAGGAGCUCCUGCUGCAUGGUGGGGGUUGGAAAGUUUCGGCGGUUGGGGAUGGACUCGCGGCUUAUCAGCUUGUUGGUGGGGUAGUGGCUUACCAAGGCUUUGACGGGUAGCCGGCCUGAGAGGGUGACCGGCCACAUGGGGACUAAGAUACGGCCCAGACUCCUACGGGAGGCAGCAGUGGGGAAUAUUGCACAAUGGGCGGAAGCCUGAUGCAGCAACGCCGCGUGCGGGAUGACGGCCUUCGGGUUGUAAACCGCUUUCGCCUGUGACGAAGCGUGAGUGACGGUAAUGGGUAAAGAAGCACCGGCUAACUACGUG
rnacentral:rRNA from 1 species